ACUAGCUCGGCGAUAGAUGAAUACGGAAGUCCUAAAGAGGUGGGCGUGUUUUGCUGUCGUCCCUCCUCCGCGCCCAAGUCCGUUCCAGCCAUGGCGGGCCUCUCCUCCAAGAAGCAGCUGUCUAAGCCUUUGUUGUUUGGAAGCAUUUUCUGUGCUUUGGCGAUCGCCUUCGUGUACAGACAUCGUUUUUUCCCUGACAUAGAGGAGCUGCGAGCUCAUGAAUAUCAGUAUUAUGAGGAGAAACGCCAGGAGGUGCUGCAGAGACGCCAGCAGCAGUUGUCUGAGCUGUCACAUAAGAAACCUGCUUCCUAAUUGGCUUUUACUGCUGAGAAAGGACUGAGACUUGACUAAAUGGACUGGAUGGUGAUUCUCGCACACCAUGGGCACUUAGGGGGUUUCAGCCUAGGACUGCUCAGUAGAGUUGAGUGAUUCACAUCCUAAUUAGAGAGUUCUUGGGAGAGAGUAUGGCUUGUCCACAGGAAGAAGGAUUUGAGAGUGAGGGAACCUAAGAUUCUUGGUUCUUCCAUUGAUUUCUUGUGUGACUUUUAGCAUUCAAUUUAACACAAGUAGCCUUGCCGUGACUUAAAAAAUUGAUCAUGUUUUGGUGAAUCUUGGCUGCCCUAAACAUUCCACAUAUGAGUUGUGUGGAUGUAAGUUUUCUUGGGAAUCUUCUAGCUGCUGUGUAAAUGUAUCCCUGUCUUCAGAAAUAUUUCACAGCUGUAUAGAAUUGUUGCUGCCUGUGCAGAAGCUGCUAGGCCACUGUUCAGAUAAACUACAAUCCAUUUCCAGUAUAUGUCUAUUUAAUCACCAACUAUAUGGUACACAAUUUUAAUUUUGAAACUUGAA